rnacentral:rRNA from 1 species
CCUACGGUGGGCAGCAGUGGGGAAUAUUGCACAAUGGGGGAAACCCUGAUGCAGCGACGCCGCGUGAGUGAGGAAGUAUUUCGGUAUGUAAAGCUCUAUCAGCAGGGAAGAAAAUGACGGUACCUGACUAAGAAGCCCCGGCUAACUACGUGCCAGCAGCCGCGGUAAUACGUAGGUGGCAAGCGUUAUCCGGAUUUACUGGGUGUAAAGGGUGCGCAGGCGGAGGCACAAGUCAGCGGUAAAAUCCCGGGGCUCAACCGCGCUCCGCCGUGGAAACUGUGUCCCUUGAGUGCGCGAAGGGUAGGCGGAAUGCGUGGUGUAGCGGUGAAAUGCAUAGAUAUCACGCAGAACUCCGAUCGCGAAGGCAGCCUACCGGCGCGCAACUGACGCUCAUGCACGAAAGCGUGGGUAUCGAACAGGAUUAGAUACCCCAGUAGUC